CUACACGGGUAUCUAAUCCUGUUCGCUCCCCACGCUUUCGAGCCUCAGCGUCAGUUACAGACCAGAGAGCCGCUUUCGCCACCGGUGUUCCUCCAUAUAUCUACGCAUUUCACCGCUACACAUGGAAUUCCACUCUCCCCUUCUGCACUCAAGUUAAACAGUUUCCAAAGCCUACAAUGGUUGAGCCACUGCCUUUCACUUCAGACUUUUCUAACCGCCUGCGCUCGCUUUACGCCCAAUAAAUCCGGACAACGCUCGGGACCUACGUAUUACCGCGGCUGCUGGCAC
rnacentral:rRNA from 1 species